rnacentral:rRNA from 1 species
GAUGAACGCUGGCGGCGUGCCUAAUACAUGCAAGUCGAGCGAACGGACGAGAAGCUUGCUUCUCUGAUGUUAGCGGCGGACGGGUGAGUAACACGUGGAUAACCUACCUAUAAGACUGGGAUAACUUCGGGACACCGGAGCUAAUACCGGAUAAUAUUUUGAACCGCAUGGUUCAAAAGUGAAAGACGGUCUUUCUGUCACUUAUCGAUGGAUCCGCGCUGCAUUAGCUAGUUGGUAAGGUAACGGCUUACCAAGGCAACGAUGCAUAGCCGACCGCAGAGGGUGAUAGGCCACACGGGAGCUGAGACACGGUCCAGACUCCUACGGGAGGCAGCAGUAGGGAAUCUUCCGCAAUGGGCGAAAGCCUGACGGAGCAACGCCGCGUGAGUGAUGAAGGUCUUCGGAUCGUAAAACUCUGUUAUUAGGUAAGAACAUAUGUGUAAGUAACUGUGCACAUAUUGACGGUACCUAAUCAGAAAGCCACGGCUAACUACGUG